CUGGAGAAUUCUGGGAGUUGAAGUCCACACUUCUUAAAAUGGCUAAGGUUGAGAAACGCUGGUCUAGAGGGACACUGAAUUCCCACUCUUAAUGUAAAAGGGAAGCAGCUCCCCGAUUACUUCAAAUGCUCCAAAUAAUGCUUCAAACUUGACCCAAAUCUUUCUCAAUUUGGAGCUCUUCACAUGUGUUGAAACUACAUGUAGUCCCAACACAUCUGGAAAGCUCUAAGUUGGGGGAAGCUGUCUACACCAAUGAAAACUUUAUACAUUUUUUAUUUUGCUUUAAGCACUUAAUGUCACUUUUCCAUUGAUGAAUUAAGACAUUCAGAACUUAGAAUGGCUUGAAUACAACAUGGUAAUGAGAAAUGUUUACAGAUUUGGAAGGGCACAGUUGAGAAAAAGUUAAUUAUCAGGAAUAGAAAGCACAUAUUUCUCUUUAUAAUAUCAAAGCCUGCUAGGCCUAAUAUGAAGUGACUGUUUUUCUUUUAAUAUCGAAUCUAGAUUAAUAAUAUUUCUGCCUUUAUUCCUAAUGCUUAAUAUGUAUAACCAUUUUGUAUAUGAGUGUGUUUGUAAUAUGUAAGGGGCUCUGUAAACUGAAUGUGAUGAGUUAUGCAUACUGUCAAAUCAUUUAAAACUAUUUACUCCAUCUAAUAAAUGAAGCCAUUUUCCCAUGUGAUUUUUUAAAUCAGAUGGAAGUGUCAGUAAAAGAUUUA